UACGAAGGGGGCUAGCGUUGUUCGGAAUUACUGGGCGUAAAGCGCACGUAGGCGGGUUUGUAAGUCGAGGGUGAAAUCCCAGGGCUCAACCCUGGAACUGCCUUCUAGACUGCAAGCCUGGAGGUCAGGAGAGGCGAGUGGAAUACCGAGUGUAGAGGUGAAAUUCGUAGAUAUUCGGUGGAACACCAGUGGCGAAGGCGACUCGCUGGACUGAUACUGACGCUGAGGUGCGAAAGCGUGGGGAGCAAACAGG
rnacentral:rRNA from 1 species